UUGUAGCUUACUAGUAGAGCACAUGUUUAGCAUACAUGAGGCCCUGGGUCCAACCCCCAGCAA
rnacentral:tRNA from 1 species